UGGGGAAUAUUGCACAAUGGGGGAAACCCUGAUGCAGCGACGCCGCGUGGGCGAAGAAGUAUUUCGGUAUGUAAAGCCCUAUCGGCAGGGAAGAGACAGACGGUACCUGAGUAAGAAGCCCCGGCUAACUACGUGCCAGCAGCCGCGGUAAUACGUAGGGGGCGAGCGUUAUCCGGAUUUACUGGGCGUAAAGGGAGCGUAGACGGCGGCGCAAGCCUGAAGCGAAAGGAUGGGGCCCAACCCCAUGAGCGCUUUGGGAACUGCGCGGCUGGAGUGCCGGAGGGGCAAGCGGAAUUCCUAGUGUAGCGGUGAAAUGCGUAGAUAUUAGGAGGAACACCGGUGGCGAAGGCGGCUUGCUGGACGGCGACUGACGUUGAGGCUCGAAAGCGUGGGGAGCGAACAGG
rnacentral:rRNA from 1 species